rnacentral:tRNA from 1 species
GGCCUGUUAGCUCAGAUGGUUAUUUGUGGUGCUAAUAACGCCAAGGUCGUGGGUUCGAUCCCCACAUGGGCCA